rnacentral:rRNA from 1 species
GACAGAGGUCUCAAGCGUUAGGCGGAAUCACUGGGCUUAAAGCGUGUGUAGGCGGAUGUCUAAGUGUCUUGUGAAAUCCCACGGCUUAACCGUGGAACUGCUUGACAUACUGGAUGUCUUGAGCCAGCUAGGGGCUACCGGAACAAACGGUGGAGCGGUGAAAUGCGUAGAUAUCGUUUGGAACGCCAAUGGUGAAAACAGGUAGCUAGGGCUGUGCUGACGCUGAGACACGAAAGCCAGGGGAGCGAACGGG